rnacentral:rRNA from 1 species
CAGCCGCCGCGGUAAUACGUAGGUGGCAAGCGUUGUCCGGAAUUAUUGGGCGUAAAGCGCGCGCAGGUGGUUUAAUAAGUCUGAUGUGAAAGCCCCCGGCUUAACCGGGAAGGGUCAUUGGAAACUGGGAGACUUAGAGUGCAGAAGAGGAGAGUGGAAUUCCAUGUGUAGCGGUGAAAUGCGUAGAUAUAUGGAGGAACACCAGUGGCGAAGGCGACUCUCUGGUCUGUAACUGACGCUGAGGCGCGAAAGCGUGGGGAGCAAACAGGAUUAGAUACCCGCGUAGUCCCUGUCUCUUAUA